rnacentral:rRNA from 1 species
AACGAACGCUGGCGGCGCGCUUACACAUGCAAGUCGAGCGAGAACCAGGACUUCGGUCCUGGGGAGAGCGGCGAACGGGUGCGUAACACGUGAGCAACCUGCCCCGAAGACCGGGACAACCCGAGGAAACUCGGGCUAAUACCGGAUGCCUUCACCGGAUCGCAUGAUCUGGUGAAGAAAUGGAUUCCGCUUCGGGAUGGGCUCGCGGUCUAUCAGCUUGUUGGUAGGGUAACGGCCUACCAAGGCGACGACGGAUAGCUGGUCUGAGAGGACGAUCAGCCACACUGGGACUGAGACACGGCCCAGACUCCUACGGGAGGCAGCAGUGGGGAAUCUUGCGCGAUGGGGGAAACCCUGACGCAGCGACGCCGCGUGCGGGAUGAAGGCCUUCGGGUUGUAAACCGCUUUCAGCAGGGACGAAAUUGACGGUACCUGCAGAAGAAGGCCCGGCCAACUACGUGCCAGCCGCCGCGGUAA